rnacentral:rRNA from 1 species
UAGGGAAUCUUCCGCAAUGGACGCAAGUCUGACGGAGCAACGCCGCGUGAGUGAAGAAGGAUUUCGGUUCGUAAAACUCUGUUGUUAGAGAAGAACAGCGCAUAGAGUAACUGUUAUGCGUGUGACGGUAUCUAACCAGAAAGCCACGGCUAACUACGUGCCAGCAGCCGCGGUAAUACGUAGGUGGCAAGCGUUGUCCGGAUUUAUUGGGCGUAAAGCGAGCGCAGGCGGUCAAUUAAGUCUGAUGUGAAAGCCCCCGGCUCAACCGGGGAGGGUCAAUGGAAACUGGUUGACUUGAGUGCAGAAGAGGAGGGUGGAAUUCCAUGUGUAGCGGUGAAAUGCGUAGAUAUAGGGAGGAACACCAGUGGCGAAGGCGACUCUCUGGUCUGUAACUGACGCUGAGGCUCGAAAGCGUGGGUAGCAAACAGG